CGGGACGGGUGAGUAAUGUCUGGGAAACUGCCUGAUGGAGGGGGAUAACUAUGGAAACGGUAGCUAAUACCGCAUAACGUCGCAAGACCAAAGAGGGGGACCUUCGGGCCUCUUGCCAUCGGAUGUGCCCAGAUGGGAUUAGCUAGUAGGUGGGGUAACGGCUCACCUAGGCGACGAUCCCUAGCUGGUCUGAGAGGAUGACCAGCCACACUGGAACUGAGACACGGUCCAG
rnacentral:rRNA from 1 species